GACGGAGGUUCAUGACACUGUACAGGAGGCAGUGAUCAAGACCAUCCCCAAGGAAAAGAAAUGCAAAACCCAGUGAUUGAGGAGAUUUUACAAAUAGCUGUGAAAAGAAGAGAAGUGAAAGGCAAAGGAGAAAAGGAAAGAUAUACCCAUUUGAAUGCAGAGUUCCAAAGAAUAUGAAAGAGAGAUAAGAAAGCCUUCCUCGGAGAUCAGUGCAAAGAAAUAGAGGAAAACAAUAGAAUGGGAAAGACUAGAGAUCUCUUCAAGAAAAUUAGAAAUACCAAGGGAACAUUUCAUGCAAAGAUGGGCUCAAUAAAGGACAGAAAUGGUAUGGACUUAACAGAAGCAGAAUAUAUUAAGAAGAGGUGGCAAGAAUACACAGAAGAACUAUACAAAAAACAUCUUCAUGAUCCAGAUAAUGACCAUGGUGUGAUCACUCACCUAGAGCCAGACAUUCUGGAAUAUGAAGUCAAGCGGGCCUUAGGAAGUAUCACUAUGAACAAAGCUAGUGGAGGUAAUGGGAUUCCAGUUGAGCUAUUUCAAAUCCUGAAAGAUGAUGGUGUGAAAGUGUUGCACUCAAUAUGCCAGCAAAUUUGGGAAACUCAGCAGUGGCCACAGGACUGGAAAAAGUCAGUUUUCAUUCCAGUCCCCAAAAGGCAAUGCCAAAGAAUGCUCAAACUACCACACCACACAUUUGCACUCAUCUCACACGCUAGUAAAGUAAUGCUCAAAAUUCUCCAAGCCAGGUUUCAGCAAUAUGUGAACCGUGAACUUCUAGAUGUUCAAGCUGGUUUUAGAAAAGGCAGAGGAACCAGAGAUAAAAUUGCCAACAUUUGUUGGAUCAUCAAAAAAGCGAGAGAGUUCCAGAAAAACAUCUACUUCUACUCAAUUGACUACGCUAAGGCCUUUGACUGUGUGGACACAACAAACUGUGGAAAAUUCUGAAAGAGAUGGGAAUACCAGACCACCUGACCUGUCUCUUGAGAAACCUGUAUGCAGGUCAGGAAGCAACAGUUAGAACUGGG
rnacentral:lncRNA from 1 species